CAUUUUCAUUCAUAACAUUGAGUACAAAUAAUCCAUGAUUAUAAUAACCCUUGCUAAUAAAAUUAUUAUUCUUGGGCAACACGACCUUAUCAGACUCAAAAGUAUCACGACUUAAACCGAUGGGCCAUGACAGGCACCCGACACCUUACUCAAUCAAGUACCAAUGUGACGUAUCUUUCUUAUUACAUCAUCAUAUACACGUGACAUACAGCCUAAUAGGCCAACAUAAUCAUUUAUAAACUCAAAACAUAGACCGACAAGGCCGUACAAUCUUUCACGUGCACGACAUAUAUCUACAAGCCUCUAGAGUACAUAAAUGUUAUAAAGGUCGAGACAGAGUCCUGCCAUACUAACCAACAAGCAACUCUGAAGUAAAUGGAGCGCAUCCACAUCUUCCGCUAAGCUGAUAGCCUAUUUGGAGGGCUCUCAACCUGUCUAUCGGGACCUACAGGCAUAAAACGCAGUGUCACCGGGUAUUAAGGACGUCAAUAUAAAAAAUAUACCAAGUAUGUAAGGCACAUAAAUAAGUACUUACAGACACGAAAGAAAUAUGUAGUACAUGACUCAGCCUGUAAGUCUGAAUAACUUUGUAAAUCAUGAAAUACUUAUAGUAUCAUGCAUAUGCGUAUGAAUGUCAUAUCGUGCAUAGGUACAUGUUUCAUAAAUCAUCAACGCAUACUAGUUGAUCAGGUGUGGUGUGUAUAUAUAAUGUCAUAACCUUUAUAUAUAUAGACACACACACACACAUAUAUACAUAUAUAUAUAUAUACGCGUAUAUAACGCCAUCUGGUCAUGAGUCGGUGUAAAUGAAUGCAAUGCAUAAAAUGCAUAAAGAAUACUUUAAUAAGAUUUUCUAAGAAUGCCAUAAAAAUCAAUAUAUCUUUUGGAUAAACUUUAUUAAAUACGUAUUUUUCUAAGACCCGUGAACAGAAGAUAUAAUAAUUCAUAUGGGAAAUCAAGAAUAUAGACACCCCUAGUAUUUCUAUGAAUAGAGUCAUUUAUGAAAGUUGUAUAUUUUGCUUAUUUCAUUUGUAUUAAUCGAAUCAUGCCGAAAAAAAAAGAAGGGAUAACCUUAAUAUACCUGGAAUAGAGAAAAUUUGUAUAAUAUUCUGUUGGAGAACUUUCAUUGAUUGAACUUAAAACUCAAAAGAAAUCGAAUUUCUGAUUUCUAAAUCUUGAACGAAAUUGUGCCAUGAUUUCUUGAAAUGUUUGGACGAAAUGUUUUCUGUUUUUGGUUUUAAACCAAA
rnacentral:lncRNA from 1 species